rnacentral:rRNA from 1 species
GUUGUUCGGAUUCAUUGGGCGUAUAGGGUGCGUAGGUGGCGCGGUAAGUCGGGUGUGAAAUUUCGGAGCUUAACUCCGAAACUGCAUUCGAUACUGCCGUGCUUGGGGACUGGAGAGGAGACUGGAAUUUACGGUGUAGCAGUGAAAUGCGUAGAGAUCGUAAGGAAGACCAGUGGCGAAGGCGGGUCUCUGGACAGUUCCUGACACUGAGGCACGAAGGCCAGGGGAGCAAACGGG